rnacentral:lncRNA from 1 species
CUUGAAAUUGACAAAUAUGGUUUAUUGCACAAUUGGAAAAUGCACUUUGAACAUACAACCAGACUAAAAUUUUAAACCACAAUCGACCAAAGGUAUUUUAUUCAAAAAACAAAUGUCGUAACCAUCGUAAGUAUAAAAUUUGUUGUUCCACCAACAAGCCACGUGCAGCUAGAUCAUUUUUUAGUGGACAAUAUGUUGUUCAUGAGCCUCUACAGAUACUUUGAGAGGUACUAAUUUAUUCCAAAUGAUGCCACAAAGAGAAUCUAAUUCUAAACUUGGAACAUUCGGUAGUUGGUUGUAGGUGACUUUGACAACAAUAG